AUGGAAACUACAAAUGAACAUUUAAAAUUAGAAAAUAUAAAUUUUCUGGGUAAGAAAAAUGAAGAUAUUAAAAGACAUUCAAUCUAUUUCUAUAUUUUUAUAGCUUUUUGAAAAAUAAAAUUGAAUCGGGGACGAUUCAUCUUAGGGAGGGGGGAGUUAACGACAGCCUUCACACAGCUUCUUUACCGUAAUUGUAAACAAAAUCAUAAUUGAUUCUUCUCAUAAAUUAUAUUGGAAGUCAUUCUUUAAAAGAACACACUUUGUUUACACAAGUGGCUAUUGUUGACAUUAACAAGCCUUCUGCAUCUUUGCAGCUACAUGGAAAUGUUCUUAUUUUAUCUUCAUUUCAAGAUUAAACCAUUUCACAAUUCUGUGAAACUAAAAAUAAGUAAACAAUUUUGUAAGCCUAUAAAUAAGCUUGGAUUUAUAUUUAAGUCAGUCUUUUGAGAAUUACUGAAAUAAAGAUACGUUCGGUCGAAGCGAUGUAAAACCUUCGAACUUUUUAAAAAUUGUUUUGCUUGACGCAAAAACAUAAUUUGCAUAUGUGUGACCCCUAGGUCUUUUCAGAUGUUAACAAAAUAUUCAAUGACCAAAGCAAAUAAAUAAUUAUAUAAAUAUAAAACUCAUACAACCUAUAUUAACUACAUAUUUAGGUAAUAAUACAAACCUUACUUAAUUAUAUAUAAAAAAAAAUUUUCUGGAGUUCAUCAUGAAUUAGGUCAAUUUGCACAUAUAUACAUACGUAUAUGUUUUGUACCGAAAUAUAGGCAGAAUCAUGGAACUUCUCUAUAAUAUAUUAUAUAUUCUCCGCCAAGAGUUUACCCAAAAAAAAGUUUUCCGUGAACUCUGAUAAAACUGUCAAACCAUCAGAAAAUAAGUAUGUUGACAAAAGAAUAACAAACAAAAGAAAAAUUACAUUAAUUUCCAACUUGAUACAAAAAUUCAAUCUCAAAAUUGCUUCAAGCUGAGACUACAUAACUUGCAUAUGUAUGUGUGUACAUUUCGCAACUAAGUAGAAUGCCAAUAUUCUUAUAGUCGUACGAUGACCUCCAUUGCUUACGCAUACAACGUUGAGAAAUUGGAACUUAGAUUCAAAUACGCAUAGAAUUGAACAUUUUUUUUUUUUGAUUGCGUAACAAACAAUAUCACAUUGUUGUCAAUAGCAAUAAGAAAAGUUUUUUGGUUUAUUUUUUAUAAGACUCAAAAAACCCAACAUAGAAAACUGACAAAUGGCCUGUAAGUUGUAUAUAAAAACUAAAACACUUUCGUUAAUUCGUGAAAUAAAUUUAAUUUAUUAGUUUAUAGUAAAAAAUUUCUGGUGAAAUUAACUAAAUAAUGUUAUAGGAAAAAAUUUUGGUAAUUUUUAAAUAAAUAAUUUAUCUAUUGGCAACAUAUUUGCCAAUUAAGUGAAUUAUUAAAAGGGAUUGUGAUUGCGAUGAUGAAAGGAAUUGCAAAAUUAAAAGGAAUGCCGAAAUGCGUAGCAGCGAGUUGUUACAAAACAAAACACAAAGCGUGCCACCCGAGGACGAGCGACACGGUCCCUUCGUCUUCCCUCGUCGUUCCCUUGCCUACGAAAACCGGUUAGGGCGGCAAAAACAGUCCUCGUCUCAACAUGCACAUACAUGACUUAUGACGCUUACACAUUUUUGCGUGCAAUCGUUCAUCCCAACACAACGCGUGAACGAGCGGCAUGGUUUCUUCGUCUUUCCUCCUUUUCAUGUGUAUUAUUUGGAAAAAAUUUUAUAUAAAAUUGUUUUAUAAAUUCAAAAGGCGUUUAUAAAGAAGAAGACCAAGGAAUACUCUCAGUGCGCUGCCCGAGCUGGAAAUCGAGUGAUAUUUUUCCCAAUGGUGAUUCCAAGGUUGCAUUGCCUUGCAUUAGCUAACCUUUGCGAAAUAGUGGGUUCUUUGGUCGCACAGAGUUUGGGUGAACGGGCUACAUGGUCUUUUUAGAUGACACUUUUUGCUGGUGUGCCGUCAAAUAACUCAACAUUGAGUGUGCGGCGUCGAGAAGGCUAAGAAUGUGCUGUGUCGUUUGGAGUACACCUCCUUGCGGAAGGUAGCGGCCAACACAGCUAUUUAUACGCAGAGGAAUGUCACCGCAGAAGAUCAAAAAUACGUAAAUGUCUACUAUGAGGUCAGGACCAAGAAUUCGUAACUGUCUAUUAUGAGAUGCCAGCACACAUUUCGCCAUGGUUGCUGCGUAUCGAACUGAAAUGUGUAAUUUUUUUUUAAAUUGUUUUUUUUGGUUCAUUGUACCAAAAAAAUUAAAAUGGAAGAUUCAUAUUAACCUAAAAUCUUUUGUUUGGUUAGAAAAUAUCAUCUGCUGAGAAUUUAACAUUUUCUUUGGUUACCUAUACAAGUUCAAGGUACAGUAAAAUUUUGGACGUUUUUAACGUACACGUUAAGGUAGUCAAGGUAACCACUGUAGAUAACAUAUCUAUGUAAAGUACGAUGGUAAAUAUUGUAAUCCUCAACUUUUUAUAUGAGUUGUCUACAAACCUGCAUGCAUUUAUUUUUAAAAUAUAAUAUAUAUACUUUAACAAAUAAAAAAGAAAA